UCAAGGUGGUGGGGGCCCCCAAACCAAUAUACAAUACAAGGUCAGGCUGUUUUUGUCAGCAGGGAAGUGUUAGGCCCAUAUAGGAGACAAAGUCAACAAAGCCAACAAAGUCAACAAAGCUACCAGAUUCAACUAUAAAAUAGCAAGGUGACCAGUAAAACUACAGCAGGCAACUAGGCUAGGAGGAGGGAUGUCUGUUUCUGUCCAGUGAAAGAUUUUGAAACUGACAGGGACAGCUUGUUCCCUGUUCAACACCUCUUGUCCAAUGUCCAAGUCCCACAGCUGAUAACACGACUGAACGUUCAGGAUCUUCCAGACCACGCCUGAGAAGUAACAGAAAUUAUGGCACAGGAUCCUGUAGCCUGCAUCGAACAUCAAAGAUAAAUGACGAAUUCAGACGGAUCUCUACAUUUAUUCAUUGCACAACUGGACCAGUUGCCAUUGCUUUAAAAAAUAAAUAAUGCUUUCAGAAAAUUUAAAUUGCUGUGUGCUUUUAUUCA